AGUCGAACGGCAGCACAGGAGAGCUUGCUCUCUGGGUGGCGAGUGGCGGACGGGUGUUGAAUACAUCGGAAUCUACUCUGUCGUGGGGGAUAACGUAGGGAAACUUACGCUAAUACCGCAUACGACCUACGGGUGAAAGCAGGGGAUCUUCGGACCUUGCGCGAUUGAAUGAGCCGAUGUCGGAUUAGCUAGUUGGCGGGGUAAAGGCCCACCAAGGCGACGAUCCGUAGCUGGUCUGAGAGGAUGAUCAGCCACACUGGAACUGAGACACGGUCCAGACUCCUACGGGAGGCAGCAGUGGGGAAUAUUGGACAAUGGGCGCAAGCCUGAUCCAGCCAUACCGCGUGGGUGAAGAAGGCCUUCGGGUUGUAAAGCCCUUUUGUUGGGAAAGAAAUCCAGCUGGCUAAUACCCGGUUGGGAUGACGGUACCCAAAGAAUAAGCACCGGCUAACUUCGUGCCAGCAGCCGCGGUAAUACGAAGGGUGCAAGCGUUACUCGGAAUUACUGGGCGUAAAGCGUGCGUAGGUGGUCGUUUAAGUCCGUUGUGAAAGCCCUGCGCUCAACCUGGGAACUGCAGUGGAUACUGGGCGACUAGAGUGUGGUAGAGGGUAGCGGAAUUCCUGGUGUAGCAGUGAAAUGCGUAGAGAUCAGGAGGAACAUCCAUGGCGAAGGCAGCUACCUGGACCAACACUGACACUGAGGCACGAAAGCGUGGGGGAGCAAACAGGAUUAGAUACCCUGGUAGUCCACGCCCUAAACGAUGCGAACUGGAUGUUGGGUGCAAUUUGGCACGCAGUAUCGAAGCUAACGCGUUAAGUUCGCCCGCCUGGGGAGUACGGUCGCAAGACUGA
rnacentral:rRNA from 1 species